GAGUUCCUGAAAGCGAUAAAAUGAUAAUUAUGCAAAACCAAAAACCUCGAUACAAUGAGAAACGUAACAUUGUGUGACAAAGUACAUCUAUGUACGAGUAAGUGAUUUUAUGAACCAGUGAAGAAACGUUUCAAUUUAUGUCAAUAGAAUCUUUACAGCCACUCGUCACUGGUCAUUUCAACUGCUGCGAUCACUUAUAAGGCAAUUAUAAUUACCACACAGUUUGUGAGAUGCUUCGCGGUAUUUGAGUACCAGCCAGCUAUACGUGCUCAGAGGUUUUGUAUCUGAAAAAACAUUAAGGCGAUUAGAUAAUCACCCCCUGUCUCGGAGUAUAAACCUGGUGAUAAAAUAACACAGAAAUGAUAACCCACAUGGCACUCUGUUCAACUUGUAACUGAAAGCAAAAAUGGACCCGGUAUCUAUGCUCAUGUCGAUGCUCCACAUCCCAUCCAGCAGCGCUGUCACCAUGUCGACAAAAUUCGGAGGAACUUCUUCGAAGUACUUGCCGAAUACCUCGGCUUGCAAUCUUCUACACAAUGCCGUAGUUUCAGCUUCGUUCUUCCGACAAAUGUUCAAUCUGCAGCACGAGUCAUACAUUUUUUCAAGGGACGUACUAGCGUAGGAAAAAUCCUUGGUGAAAAUAAAAAAUAUCACGAUCAACCGUUUACCGACGUCAAGUGGAAUGCCCCAUAUUUAUCGGUGCGUGCAUUCUUUCCAUGCAAUUGAAUUGGUUUCUCAGUUACAUUUAUAGGAAUGACAGUUUACCGAUCUGAAAUGCCAAGCAUAUGUCCAACGACUCUCAACACGUGGUUGAUUCCCUCUCGCUGAUCCUUGGUGUUUGUCAGACCCAAAGAUUCCGGUUCGAGCAGAACGUAGCCGAUCAUACCAUACUGAGUGAGCGCCAUGUCCCGAUGAGUGAUUCCCCCGAUUCCAUCUCGGAGGGCUCGUCGAUUUGCGAGGCAAUGCUUCCAGCGAACUGUAUUCGUUGACUUGAACCAACUGGGCCAGAUUCGGAUAACCCGAGGUCAGACAUGAUUGAGCUUACGGUUAUUCUGCUACUUGUAGCAACCGAUACUUAACGCAAGGUAACGAAGUCAAGCUCCGUUCACUUACUCCGAAUUAAUAACGUUCAAAUCCGCCAUGUACCACGCUCGAGUAUGCAAACUUGUUUCGAGAUAUCUUUUGAACGCUGCGCAUGCCGUUCCACUCUUUUUGGUAUAGAUGAGAACCUGCAAUGAAGCGCAAUCGGACGAUUUCAAGAAUACAGCCGAAGAGUAACGACGAUACCGAAAGGCGCGGUAUCGGCACGAACGCAUUUCAUCUUUCUUCUCAAGUUACAAGUUACAUCGCGGAAUGCUUCAUAAAUACUAUAAUACCGACCUUCAGGAUCGAAGGAACAGCCAGCACAGCUACAAGACCACAUAUGAUCGCAGUGGUUAAUCCAAGGCUGUUGGAACGGUAGUAAUCUUGCCCUCUGCGAUGUCAAACGGAAUUUAGAUCAUCGAACCAAAUUUCCAAAUCAUCACUAACCCAACAUUGAAACUCGAGCUUAACACUUACGCUUUGUACAAUUUUGCAUCAUACCACUCGGGAAGAUCCGCUGGAGUAACUUGCUCAGACUCAUCGUAGUCGAUGGUGUCUUCGUCGGCUACAAGUAUCCUGAAAUGCUGAUCCACGGUCGCAGGUUGGACUGUGAAAUGCAUCCCAUGGUGACAAGUAUGUGUUAAAGUAGUUUUUUUAAAUCACCCAUGUCCGUGCAUGGGUUUUUAAUUGACAGUGAUACGCGAUAAGCAUCUCACAAUUGAAAAUAGAUUAAACUUGAAAAGUGAUGUGGAACGCAAUUUUCUUCGAUAUGAGAACUGUAUACAUACCAUCGUCAAUGUGUUUUUCCUUGGACCGCAUCUUGUCCCGCCUAACUGCAGAGUACUUAUGCAAAACACGUUUAACGACUCUCACCUUAUACUCAACGACAGAGCGCCAAUUGAAUCCCCACUGGGAAUUAAAUUCAGAUCUUGACGAGAUGGCGAUCGAAAUGCGCAAGUCAAGAUCUUGAAUUUUGUUUUGAUAUAGCUUGCGACCUUGCGCUGAGAGGAGAGUUUAUUUACUGUUAUCAAACGUAUGUUUGAAUACGGCAAAAUAGAUGUUUUGCUAAUCUAAUCCUAACCUAACCUAAGCAUCUCUAAAUUGAAUAAAAAUAGAUUUGUCCAAGUAUGUUUUAACAGAUGUUCGUCAGCGAUUACAUUUGCGCGUUCUAAUCGCAAUACAACGUAAGAUUUCUUUAAUGUUCCUCAGAUAAUUUAUGAGUAUCUGGUCAACGAGCAAAAUAAGCCCGCAAACAUUACGAUCAUAUAAAAAAUAUAAGGUUGAAAAUCGUCUUGAACGUUCUUGAUAGUUAUAGAAUCAUUUUUUAAAUUAUUGAAUCACAUAACAUUUCUGGGGGUUUUUGAAAUGAGGUUUCUCCUUUUUUCUAAUUUUUCAUACUUUAACUUACAGUUAAUUCGUCCUUGAGAGGUAAAAGCCGUAUCUAACGCGUACCUGAUAAUUAUACAUAUACUCUCUACGAUGACAACAAAUGCGUGACUGUUGCACAUUAUAAAUUGGUUUUAAGAUCUUAAUCAACCGGAUUACUGAAUUUCUGAUGUCCCGAUUCCCGCAGUGAUAACGACGUGGAAUAAGGAUAUCAGAAAAACAUAAUGACCAUCUUAAGAACAGAUUAAUACUGAUUGAAAUCGGGAUCAUUAUUCUUCAUUACGGAACCGCGAUACAUUAGCGAUUACAAUUGUAAACUAAAUAUAGACUGACAUCCGUUUCUGAAAAAUAUUGUAUAAUCAAUUGAGGUUGAACGGAAAUUUAAGAGUUUGAGAAAUCGCGAAUCAUUUUCAUGUUCCGAAAUGUGCAAUGCUUAUGUAUGCGCUACUGACCAUCUGUAUAAAAAAUAGCAUAUUCACAAGCUAUGAAAUUUUGGAUUGGAAGGAAUCGAUGACUCGAAAUGCGUUUCGGUUAAACAAUUUUUGCGUCCGGCUCAGAUACUCGGUAGAAGAGAUUGUUUCGAUAAUCUGCUUCGGGCUACUUCGUAUUGCAUCAUCGUACCGUCCGCGUGAUUUAGCACAUUUUUACCUUCUUUUUGCGUGAGUAAUUAUUUGAACAAAAACGCAGACACAUCUGUCGUAACAGUCGCGCCCUUGGAAAUAAUUGCGCAUCUGUUGAAAAUUCCUUUCAGAAUAAAAUCAACGUUGUCCGUAUAUUUGAAGCGUAAAUAUGAAUGUGAGUAGUUUCAAGGAAUAGAAGAAAAAAAUACAUGGGUAAAAGUAUAAGGUGUACUGUAAUUAUUGGUAAAAAAACAUGGAAUAUUUCUUAUUUCUUAUUGAAGUUUUUUAAUACCCCGUAGCUUGCACAAAUACAGCGAUAUUAAUUUACUGUUAUCACAUUUUUUCGCGUGAAAGAUCCGCGAGUUAUUUACAACUAUGCCGACACGAUAAUUUGAUAGUCGUCUUGU